GAAUUCGCCCUUGGGGAAUUUUCCGCAAUGGGCGAAGGCCUGACGGAGCAAUACCGCGUGAGGGAGGAAGGCUCUUGGGUUGUAAACCUCUUUUCUCAGGGAAGAACAGAAUGACGGUACCUGAGGAAUAAGCAUCGGCUAACUCCGUGCCAGCAGCCGCGGUAAUACGGAGGAUGCAAGCGUUAUCCGGAAUGAUUGGGCGUAAAGGGUCCGCAGGUGGCAUUGUAAGUCUGCUGUUAAAGAGUUUGGCUCAACCAAAUAAGAGCAGUGGAAACUACAAAGCUAGAGUGUGGUCGGGGCAGAGGGAAUUCCUGGUGUAGCGGUGAAAUGCGUAGAUAUCAGGAAGAACACCAGUGGCGAAGGCGCUCUGCUAGGCCGAGACUGACACUGAGGGACGAAAGCUAGGGGAGCGAAUGGGAUUAGAUACCCCAGUAGUCCUAGCCGUAAACGAUGGAUACUAGGCGUAGCUCGUAUCGACCCGAGCUGUGCCGGAGCUAACGCGUUAAGUAUCCCGCCUGGGGAGUACGCAGGCAACUGUGAAACUCAAAGGAAUUGACGGGGGCCCGCACAAGCGGUGGAGUAUGUGGUUUAAUUCGAUGCAACGCGAAGAACCUUACCAAGGCUUGACAUGUCACGAAUCCUAUUGAAAGAUGGGAGUGCCUUCGGGAGCGUGAA
rnacentral:rRNA from 1 species